CAUUUGUUGUACCAAGUUUAGUUAUUAUGUCCCCAAGGGGCGUAGCGUGGUGGCAAAGGGCUUGAGAUCUACACAGUAGGUCUCGAGUUCGAGUCAGAGCAUGCAUAUCUUAUAAGAGCCCGGGAUAGCAAGGGUUUUACUUGCUUACUUGGACCCACAAAGUG